GACGAACGCUGGCGGCGUGCUUAACACAUGCAAGUCGAACGGAAAGACCCUGCUGUUGUGGGGUGCUCGAGUGGCGAACGGGUGAGUAACACGUGAGUAACCUGCCCUUGACGUUGGGAUAACUUCAGGAAACUGGGGCUAAUACCGGAUAGGAGCUCCUGCUGCAUGGUGGGGGUUGGAAAGUUUCGGCGGUUGGGGAUGGACUCGCGGCUUAUCAGCUUGUUGGUGGGGUAGUGGCUGACCAAGGCUUUGACGGGUAGCCGGCCUGAGAGGGUGACCGGCCACAUUGGGACUGAGAUACGGCCCAGACUCCUACGGGAGGCAGCAGUGGGGAAUAUUGCACAAUGGGCGGAAGCCUGAUGCAGCAACGCCGCGUGCGGGAUGACGGCCUUCGGGUUGUAAACCGCUUUCGCCUGUGAUGAAGCGUGAGUUACGGUAAUGGGUAAAGAAGCACCGGCUAACUACGUG
rnacentral:rRNA from 1 species